UAGGGCUGGGCGUUCGGUUUAUAUGGUUAAUACGGUUCGGUUUAUUCGGUUUUAUAUAAUUUCGGUUUUGGAGGAAUAGAAACCGAAAUAUUCAUUCAAAAUUUAGAAACCGAACCAUAUUAACCAUAAUAUAUCGGUUCGGUUUGUUCGGUUAACCGAAAAACCAAAAUUCAUGCAUUUGUCAGUAUAAGUGGAAUGACUCGAGAGCAGUGAUUUGCAUUGUAUAAUAUGCAAAAUGAUAAUCACAAGU
rnacentral:lncRNA from 1 species